GACUGGGGAUGAUGACCCCGGCAUCCCGCAGAAACACCUUAAGGAUUUAACGUUUUACCUGCAUCUACAUUAAAACGCACAGUAUCUCUCAGAUAUGUAUGUGUAUGAUCGCCAGAUGGGAGCUAUCCGUAUCUUUCUGAAACAGUCACUGGCGCUGUUGCUGUAAUGAAAAGCACUUGAAGAAGAAAAAAAGAAACCUGAAUAACAGAUGCGUUUGCAUUAUUUCAAAGACCCAUCUGGCAUGAAAGGUCUUGGCAAAAGGCAGCCUCUGUAUGUUGACUUCAUUCUUCUCUUUUUGCAACUGGCUUCUGUUACUGGUCCACACGGCAGAAGUCAAGGCCACCCAGAGCUUCAAACAUGGUGAGGAUCCAGCCUAUGAUAAAGAAAUUGAAUCCAUCUUUUAGUCACAGUUCUAAAGCCUUGGGGAUACUCUGGAAUUAGGUCCUCUAAAGAGAAGAAUCCUCUGUUUCAGUUCAUAAAGAACCGUCAUAGGUGCUGUGAGUCACCCAUGUGAUCAUGUGGAUUUGCAGAAGGGUCAGUAGAAGGACUGGGGAAUGGGAGUGGGAAAGUCCUCCAAUUUGUGAAUCGCAAACUUCACAACUUUAAUAGUAAUGGAAACAUGUCUGUUUAAUGAAAAUCAUUAUUUAUUAUCAAAUCCAAAUGUUAAUGUGCAUUAAAAGAUUGUUCUUAAAACAGAAUACUUCCAAUUUCACAUUUAAUCAAAGCCAACAUGAAUUUUAAUGUUUAUUAAGGGACACAUACAGCAUUGCCUCUGAAAUCUGUAAGAAACUAUUAGAUUCAGUGACCCAGAAACACACACACACACACACACACACACACACAUGCAUAUAUACCCAUACACACAUCAAAACACCCUAAGAAAUGCCUUCCUGUGUGUACAUAAAUAUAUACAUAAAUAUAUGUAAAAGUAACUAUACAUAUAUGUGUGUGUAUAUAUAGUUAUAUAUGCAUAGCUAUAUUUAUGUAACUUUUAUAUAUAUAAACACACACACACACACACACACACACACAUUCUUAUAUAUAUGAAUGUGGGAUGGGGGGAAAGUUCAUCAGGUAGUGGCAAACAAUAACAUAGCCAGAAUUGGUCUGGAUUUGGCAAGCAGGUCUAGAGGUCUGCGUUUUCUAAAGUCUCAGCAUGCUCCUCAUAACACUUCCUGUAAUUCAUUUCAGCAUUCAGCAGCAGCCCCCCAUGAAGUAAGUCUGGCAUUAUAUCUUAAAGAGCUUUAUGAAAGGAUGCCUUGCUCAAUUGUGAGCAAUCUUUUUGAAGUGCACACCAUGCUUUCAACAAGAAAAUACAUUUGGAGUGUUUAUAGAAACAGCUCUUAUCCACUGUGUUAGAAAGUGGAUUCUUGCUAGACCUUUGCCAUAAAGCAAAAUGGGCCUAAUCAAAUAGCACCUAAGCAGGGUGCAGCAUCUGCCCUCAUGUAUCUCAGCCAAUGGCAUUUCUAAGCCAAAUUGUUAAAGGCAUUUCCUGGACAUAGGAGCAAUCACAGAUGGGUGAAAUUUUCAGCAUUAGCACCAGUUUACUUUGUCCUCUUGAGCUCUGAAAUGCUACUGAAUCUGCUACUAAUCUCUUCUCUUCUUUUUACACUCAGUGAACUAGGGAGGUAGGAUGAGUAAUUUGAAGAUAACAAAACAUAUCAGAGAAGAGAAUUUUCCCUUAAAAUAACGCGGUCAUUUUUGCUAAAGUCAAUAUUCUACGUGUAUUGUCAUGUAUAACUUUUAUUUUUUUAAC
ensembl:lncRNA novel transcript